rnacentral:lncRNA from 1 species
CAGGUCAUAUGUUGCCACUAGCAUAUGGUGUUAUUGAUUCAGAGAACGAUGCUGCUUGGUAGUGGUUCUUUGAGCAAUUCAAGGAAGCAUAUAGUGAGAGGGAAAACAUGUACAUCGUUUCAGAUAGGAAUGAGAGUAUCAUCAAAUCUAUAUCAAGAGUGUAUCCAGCGGUACCACAUUUUGCUUGUAUAUGGCAUCUAUGGAACAACGUAUAUAAGAAAUUCAAAAAGAGUCAUUCAAAAUUGAGUGAGGAAGAUGUUUGGACGUUGGAAUUGCAGCAAUCGGAAAGAAGCUUCACUGACAUACACAACGCUUGAAAAACAAUACCAGGAUAUGCUUACCUUGAAUGAUGCAAUAUCUAGAUGCAUGACUGCAAGUUAUUUUUUUAUAAGUCAUUGUAUCCUAUAUUUAUCCAUGGUACAAGGUGUAUUUAUUUCUGAUACUAUUUCUACUAUUCAAAAUACAGAACUUAUGUUAAUUGUAUUGUUAGUUGAAUUUAAUGGUUUUAUUUCUAACCAUAUGCACUCCAUAAGCAGAUAGUUACUGUAUAUUACUGUAUUCACCAGUCAAGAUGUAAUCAUCUUUAAUAUUCUGCCAGCCUACAUAUAGAAUGUAUUCCAUUGUAUUCAAUGUAUUUCAUUGUAUAUAGUUGUAUUUCUUUGUAUUUUAUAUAUACAUAUAUGUUUGUAUUCAAUACAAAUUUGUUUGAAUUCAAUAUAUAUGAUGAUUCUGAAAACUAAAUAAAAUUUUUAUGUUGUAUAUUUGAAUUAUAUUUUAAUUAUAUGUCUAUAUUGUAAUUAAUAUGUGUAUUCUUUGAUAUAUAAAUGAUUUUAAAAAAAAUAUUUUAAACUAAUUGGUCUAUGUUUAAAUGUUGGUGGUACCAUCGACCGAAUACUUGUAUACAGUGAACGAUAAAGAUGC